GCUUAUAUCAUGUUGAAACACCAGUUCCUGUAUGAUCAGCAAAGUUAAGCAAUGCUGAAGCUGGUUAGUACCUAGAUGAGUGACUGCUUGAGAAUACCAGGUGCUA